CACGUAUGGGGCGAGCGUUUUUCGGAAUUAUUGGGCGUAAAGGGCGCGCAGGCGGCCACGUAAGCCUGGUGUGUAAGACCGCAGCUCAACUGCGGGGUUGCGCUGGGAACUGCGUGGCUGGAGUUCAGGAGGGGAAGCUGGAAUUCCUGGUGUAGGGGUGAAAUCUGUAGAUAUCAGGAAGAACACCGGCGGCGAAGGCGAGCUUCUGGCCUUGAACUGACGCUGAGGCGCGAAAGCGUGGGGAGCAAACAGG
rnacentral:rRNA from 1 species